AGCAGCCGCGGUAAUUCCAGCUCCAAUAGCGUAUAUUAAAGUUGUUGCAGUUAAAAAGCUCGUAGUUGAAUUUCGGGAUCAAUACGUCGGUCGUGCUUCGGUACGUACUGGCGUCAUUGAUUUCUCCCUUCUGACGAACCAUGAUGUCAUUAACUUGGUGUCAUGGGAAAUCAGGACUGUUACUUUGAAAAAAUUAGAGUGUUUAAAGCAGGCACACGCUUGAAUACAUUAGCAUGGAAUAAUGAAAUAGGACGUUCGAUCCUAUUUUGUUGGUUUUAGGAUCAACGUAAUGAUUAAUAGGGAUAGUUGGGGGCAUUAGUAUUCAAUUGUCAGAGGUGAAAUUCUUGGAUUUAUUGAAGACUAACUACUGCGAAAGCAUUUGCCAAGGAUGUUUUCAUUAAUCAAGAACGAAAGUUAGGGGAUCGAAGACGAUCAGAUACCGUCGUAGUCUUAACCAUAAACUAUGCCGACUAGGGAUCGGAUGAUGUUAAUUUUUUAAUGACUCAUUCGGCGCCUUACG
rnacentral:rRNA from 1 species